rnacentral:lncRNA from 1 species
UGGAGCUUUAACUGGCUGGUAACAAGAAGGAGCAUUUAUUAAGCCAAAGCUGGUAACAAGAAGCAGCUUCACUUCCUCAGCCACAGCUGCAUGUAGCAGGAGCAUCUCGUAGCCAGAAUUGAAACGAACUGGAGUGUCCAUCAGCAGAGCAUCGUGUAGCUGGAGCUGAAACCAAAGCUGGAGCUUCAACAAGCUGGACCUGAAAUUACCUGAAACUGAAACAAGCAUCAGGAAUUGAAAUUACCCAGGGCUUCAAAUACCCCGAGCAGUAACACGCUGGUGAGCCCAUCAGCAGGAACAUCUCUUAUCCAGAGGGCCAAUGGCUGGAUGUGCCCCAGAGCUGGAGUGUCCAUUAGCUGGAGCUGUGACAUCCAUCAGCAGGGCUGUGCAGACAGCAUGGUUGAGCAGGACAUCUGCUCUCUGUAGCCUCCACGAGGAGAGUCGAGCUGACCUGCAGCUGUAACAGGAAGGAGUGACUGUUAUCAGGAACAUCCUGUGCCUGGAGCUGAAAUUACCUGAGCUGUAGCAAGCUGGGGUGUCCGUCCACAGGACAUGUUCUCUGAGGCAGGUGUACAGGUACAUGGCUGUCACCAGCAAGUUGCUCCAAACAGCAGGGAGCCCAGCCUCUUCCCUCAGGGAAUAAAUCCAUGCCAAGUGCCUCUCUCUGCACAGAGGGUCUCUCCCAAUUCUAAGGUCAGAACUGAGAGGCGUCCCCACCAGAUCUCCUGCAGUGGGCAGGUGCAGGCAAGGCAGCACCAGUGUCUCCUCUACAUCUCCUCCCGUGUCGGUGUCCCCCAGCGCUGCCAUGUCAGGGCCGCGCUCCUCGCCUGGGCUCGUCCUCCUGUAUCAGCGUUCCCCGGCGCUGCUCAUUUUGAGCCGAGCAGCCCUUCUGCCGCUCGGCUGCUCCCCUACACUGCAAAACCCCUUGUGAGGAAGCGGCCGCAGUGUCACAGCCGGCAGGACGAAGGACAGCCGGGAGGAUGAACCCUUGCUCUCAUGUGAGCUCCCAGACCAUAGCCAGCCACGGGGCGAGAGGCCUUAUACUGGGGGAGCCCAGUGCAAAUACCCCUCUCCGGGUCCCUGCAGGGGCCGGAGGGGCGAGGAGCCCUACCGGGACAU